AAAAUCCGUCGACUUUCGAGAUCGUGAGGGUUCAAAAUCCUCUAUCCCCA
rnacentral:tRNA from 1 species